rnacentral:rRNA from 1 species
GUCUACAGCCAUGCCACCCUGACCACACCCGAUCCCGUCUGAUCUUGGAAGUGAAGCUAAAUAGGGUCGGGCCUGGUUAGUACUUGGAUGGGAGACCACCUAGGAAGACCAGGUGCUGUAGGCG